rnacentral:rRNA from 1 species
AGAGUUUGAUCAUGGCUCAGGACGAACGCUGGCGGCGUGCCUAACACAUGCAAGUCGAGCGGAGACAGUGAGUAGCUUGCUACGAACUGUUUUAGCGGCGGACGGGUGAGUAACGCGUGAGCAACCUUUCCCAGACAGGGGAAUAACACACCGAAAGGUGUACUAAUACCGCAUAAGACCACGGGAUCACAUGGUUCUGGGGUGAAAGAUUUAUCGGUUUGGGGUGGGCUCGCGUCCGAUUAGGUAGUUGGUGAGGUAACGGCCCACCAAGCCGACGAUCGGUAGCCGACCUGAGAGGGUGAUCGGCCACAUUGGGACUGAGACACGGCCCAAACUCCUACGGGAGGCAGCA